UGAUUUGAACGGUAUGACGGCAAAAUAGUUAAAGAAUUCUUUAAUAACACACGCCGUCAACAUGUUAGUCACGUGACUCCAAACGAUAUAAAAGGGGGGUGAAUUGUGUACUCAAAAAAUUAUUAAAAAUAAGCACUUAAAAUAUUUUAACCAAAUAAAAAUAACUUGUAGCGAGAAAUAAAAAAGAUGAAAGGGUAAGAAGAAAAACACAAAGAAAUUAUCCUGGUUCGGCCAAAGACAAAUGGCCUACUCCAGUCCCCAAGGAAAGCACCUUGAGAUUUCACUAAACCAAACUUUUAUAACAGGAUAAGCUAAUAACCUUUACAACCGAGAACUCUCAACACAAACAAUGGGAUAUCACCUCCCUUGUGCAAGAGCCUCUAAACCAAGAGAUAUCACN
rnacentral:lncRNA from 1 species